rnacentral:rRNA from 1 species
AUUGAACGCUGGCGGCAGGCCUAACACAUGUAAGUCGAACGGUAACAGGAAGAAGCUUGCUUCUUUGCUGACGAGUGGCGGACGGGUGAGUAAUGUCUGGGAAACUGCCUGAUGGAGGGGGAUAACUACUGGAAACGGUAGCUAAUACCGCAUAACGUCGCAAGACCAAAGAGGGGGACCUUCGGGCCUCUUGCCAUCGGAUGUGCCCAGAUGGGAUUAGCUAGUAGGUGGGGUAACGGCUCACCUAGGCGACGAUCCCUAGCUGGUCUGAGAGGAUGACCAGCCACACUGGAACUGAGACACGGUCCAGACUCCUACGGGAGGCAGCAGUGGGGAAUAUUGCACAAAGGGCGCAAGCCUGAUGCAGCCAUGCCGCGUGUAUGAAGAAGGCCUUCGGGUUGUAAAGUACUUUCAGCGGGGAGGAAGGGAGUAAAGUUAAUACCUUUGCUCAUUGACGUUACCCGCAGAAGAAGCACCGGCUAACUCCGUG